UAUAAAGAGGGGUUGUUUGUCAAACAAAAACAACAACAACAAUAGUUUUAAAAGAUGCUAUGAAUAUGACAACAAAAAGCAGUUAUCGUGACAGGCCUAUAGCACAUUUUCUCCUGUGUGUGCACCAUGACUUGACCAAACUGAUCCAAGUGUGAAACCCUGAACUGAUUAAUAACCACAGGAUCAAUAAAUUAAACAAAAAAAUUAAGUCUAUAUGUGAAACCUGGUUAAAAUUGCCUACACUGUUAUAAAAUUAGGUUACGAUAAAGGCAUAUGACUUUGUAAAAAAAACCAAAAAAAACUAUAAUAAUAAUAAUAAUAAUAAUUUGUAUUUAUAUAGCAGCUUCCCAUCACAAAAAACAUACAAAUCACAGAAAAUUAAAAUCAGCAUUGCAACAAUAAUACAGUUUUCAGGUGACAUAUCUGUCAUCACACAUAAAUAAAGUCUAUAGAAAUGGGUCUUUGAAAGUUAAUGUUUCCUACAUGGGAAAGUAGGGACACCAUAAAUAUGGUUAAAAGUUAUUUCAUGGAGAGUGAAAAGGCUACAAUGUAAUAAAUAAGUUUCAAACGAUACAAAUAUAUUUAAUUAUGAAUAUCCUGUUUUAUUGUGAAAGAUACGUUGCAGUGAACGGAAGUAGAGUGUAUUUUUAUUGUGAAUAAUACGUUCCAGUGACCGGAAGUAGAGUGGAGUAACGACCGGGGACGCUUGAUUUGACUAAAAGUCACAGCGGGAAUAAUCCGUGAAAAAGUUUGCGCAAACAAAUAUGUAGCCGAUGUCUUAAGAAAAAGAUCAUCUACUCGACAGUCUCAAUCAGAAUAUUGCCCCUGAAUAUUAUUCAUGACCAACUGGAGGAGCUCGCCAUCCCCCUGGACCUCGGGUCACCGCCACCUUGAUCUCCCGGGGUGGACCGAGAGGGACCGGUGACGUCAUCAGCUGCCAAGGCCACGUCAUCUCUGGACACGUGCCUGACUCACAGCUGAACUCAGAUAAUUCCCAGUUUGCCCCGGUUGGGUUCACUGCCUCUCUCUCUCUCUGCGCCAGAUAAACGGCCGGCCGAACUCCAAUACAAGAGCCAGGAGGAGUUCAUAAACCAGAACUCAUCUAAGUCAACUGGAGUGCAACUAGAAAAGAUAAUACAGAAGAAGAGUUCAGGACACAACAAGGGCAAGAUUUCUCCCGGCGCUGCCGAGGGUCACUCGGACUGUGACAGACGGUCAAUGUGUUCAUGAGAGUGAGAGAGAGCGGGAAAAGA
rnacentral:lncRNA from 1 species